rnacentral:rRNA from 1 species
UACAGAGGGGGCAAGCGUUAUUCGGAAUUAUUGGGCGUAAAGGGCGCGUAGGCGGCUUUGCAAGUGGCGGGUGAAAUCCCUCGGCUUAACCGGGGAACUGCGUCUGAUACUGGAUGGCUUGAGUUUGGGAGAGGGAUGCGGAAUUCCAGGUGUAGCGGUGAAAUGCGUAGAUAUCUGGAGGAACACCGGUGGCGAAGGCGGCAUCCUGGACCAACACUGACGCUGAGGAGCGAAAGCAUGGGGAGCGAACAGG